rnacentral:lncRNA from 1 species
UUUUUUUUUUUUUUUUUUGGGUAAUAAAAGAUUGCAUAAAUAAAAAUUUUAAGUCCGUACAUCACAUAUUUGUUUGGGAUGGAAGGACCCCUUAAAUCACCACACAAAAUAGUUCGUAGCUGAGGAGGACAGUUAUGAUAAGAGUGAAAAAGUCGACAAAAAGAUUUCCAUCCUCAAAUCAUCACAGCCGUUGCAUUUUGCAUCAUUUUGACCUUUCUUCCUCAGCUCAACUGCACGAAGAACGAAUGAGCAUUGUAUUUGACGAUAGCCAUCUUAUUUUACCGGUUAAAGAGUCAAAGAACAAAAAAUAAUAAUAAUAUAAUAAUAAAAGACAGAGCAAGGCAAACACUUGUCGAGUUUUAAAGGUGUUGAAGGCUUGUUUGGGGAGUUAUUAGUGUCAAAAGCUCUUAUUAUUAUUCAGUACUAAUACACAAAGGAUGGUCCUCGAUCUUGGUUUUAAAAUUUCUCAUACAAAUUCUAUUAAUCUUUUUUUCUUGUGCACCAAUUUUAAAAGUAUCUGUUGGUGUACAUUAUUACCUUACUCUUGGAAGCCCAUGCGCAUAAAAAAAAAAAAAAAUUUUUUUUUUUUGGAGCUCAGGCGUUCAACAGUAUCCUCGAAAGAAUUGAUUGUAUAAGAUCAGUAUUUUUGGAGUAGUACUUACGUAGACGAGAUAUAACCAGCAGAGCAGAGAAGAAACCAAAUAAAUAAGAUAAAGAAAUGAUAUAUAUAUAUAUAUAUAUAUGCAGAUAACGUUUCAGUAAUAGAAGGAUUUGAUUUAUUAAACGAUCACAAGAAAAAUUAACGUUAGAGAGUGAAAAUAUCAAGGCAACUAACGAGGUUGAUAAUUCCAUGUGCACUAGAUUCAUGAUUCUCGCAAGACAUAUUGGAAAAGGACGAGAGGGCACUGAUCGAUCGAUCGAGGAUGUUAAAUAGAAGCUAGCAAUUCCGAAAGAGAAGGCCUAUAAUGAUGAGAAGCGUCUGUCAAAUGAGCAAGGACGACUUGCCACCAUAUCAAAAUCAGAAAGGCUUUGAACGUACGCAGGCAGUAGGAGGCAAGUCAUCCUUGUUGGCGAUGAAACCAGAGUCUCCUCCCCAUUUUAGGCCAAUCAGAGUCUUUCUACCAAAAUGUUGAUCCAAUUAAGCCAGAAGAAGUACGUCUAUUUUCUGAACGCAAUUGAUCGAAUUGCUCAAUAUUCAAGACUGUACCUGAGGAGGCGAUUUUUGGUUGGUAACUAGACCGACCUGGAUCAGUCCUCUCUGAGAUGAAGUGAGGUGAACUCCUGUGUCCGAAGUGAACCUCCUUGUCCGAAGUGAGUGGCGGGGCUUCUCCCCUGGUAUCACUCCGACGAUCAAGUUAGUAUGAGAACGAGAAUAAUGAGAAUGAGUUAAUGAACAGUGUAUGCUUACUUGUUGGGAGUGUGAGUGAGGUAUUUAUAGAAGAGAGGUGGUCAAGACGGAAGGCUCAUGCUAGCGGGACCCACUCUCUGGCAUUACGGCUCUGUCUCCUGUCAGGAGGUCUGACUCUGACACUGUAGCCGCCUGGGAGUGAUGACGGAGGAUAUGGUGCAGGUGCCAUUAAGUGCCUCCAGUGCUUUUCAGAUAAAGUGCUGGUCCUGGAUGAUGUCAGGUGGGUUGACAUCAUCAGCGUGCAGCCGAGGUGGAUGUGCCGAGGUCACCUACACGAUGGACUAGGGAUGAAGCCGAGCUCUGGGGUUGUGCUCAAGACAGGGAUGAGCUCCGAUGAGGGACGAGACUUGUGUUCACCUCGGACACCCGCGUGUCCGAGGUGAGCAUCCUCAAUAAGCCCCCCAAGCCUCGGGAGCUUCGGGCCAGGGAGGUACCGAGACUUCCUUCUGCCGAAGUCGUGAAGAGUCAGUGUCCCGAGCCUGCUCCGGAAGGUGCGGGGACGUGACACGUGGGCAUGUCAGUUGAAGGGACCUGGAGAGUGAGUCGGCACGUAACCGUCACGUCGUGAAGUAGUGGGACGUUUCGUGCAGAGAGUGUCAGUUACAACGAGGACUCCAAGGAGUUGUGUGACCGGAUGGCUGAGGACCUCCAAGCUGGAAGGAACCUGGCCGAGGUCCUGGCCGAGUUCAACAAAUGGCUGUCCGAACUCGACGAAGUGUUCGAGGAGGUUGAAGAGGAAGAAACUGGAAGAGAGGAUGCCGAGGGAGACGAAGCCGGAGGGGGCGAAGCCGGAGGGGACGUCGGCAAAGAGCCUGGAGAUGAAGUUCACCCCGGCGGAAAGGAGACCGAAGAGAAAGAUGCCCAGGAGGGAGCCAAGACCGGGAUUGGAGCCGAUACGGGGAUGUAGGCUCGUAGGCUCUAAAGGGGUGGCCGAGGUGAAGAGUGUUUAGUAGCACUCUGACCUCGGCCUUGUAUUUUUUUUAACACUUCUGUUGAAUGAAAGUCUAUUUCUUCUCAUCUCAGCUCUUUAAUUUCUUGCUUUGCUUUGACUUCAUCCCUUGCUUGUCCCCCUUAUUUUUUGAUAGCGUAAUAACCCUAUUGUUCUCAGGUCGUUAGCCGAGGUGGUAAAACGGGCAGAUACCACCUUGAUUUAUAAUGGGCCGAGGUGGCCUUUCGGGAGGUGCCACUGAGUAAGGCCGAGGUGGCCCUGCGGGAGGUGCCGCUGAUUAAGGCCUAAGUGGCCCUGCGGGAGGUGCCACUGAGGAAGGCCUGCCACUGAUUAAGGCCGAGGUGGCCCUUCGGGAGGUGCCUGAGUAAGGCCGAGGUGGUAAAACGGGCAGAUACCACCUUGAUUUAUAAUGGGCCGAGGUGGCCUUUCGGGAGGUGCCACUGAGUAAGGCCGAGGUGGCCCUGCGGGAGGUGCCGCUGAUUAAGGCCUAAGUGGCCCUGCGGGAGGUGCCACUGAGGAAGGCCUGCCACUGAUUAAGGCCGAGGUGGCCCUUCGGGAGGUGCCGCUGAAUAAGGCCUAAGUGGCCCUGCGGGAGGUGCCACUGAUUAAGGCCGAGGUGGCCCUUCGGGAGGUGCCACUGAGGAAGGCCUGCCACUGAUUAAGGCCGAAGUGGCCCUUCGGGAGGUGCCGCUGAGUAAGGCCUAAGUGGCCCUGCGGGAGGUGCCGCUGAGGAAGGCCGAGGUCGGCCCCUGCGGCUCAGCUCGGCUGACUGAAUUUUUCCUCAGAACCAAGUCUCCAGGCUGGAAUUGAGCGGUGUCAGCUCAGCGUCCGAGGUGGACGAUCUUCCUUUCACUAUUCGAUCGAAAAUACUCCGGCGGUCCCGGAGUUGGGUUGAAGUGCCACUUGGGCCGGGUUCACCUCGGCCGAUGUCUCUCCUCCGGGGAUCUGGCCCCGUACGAGAUGCUUGGGCUUCUCGCUUCAUGCGAUUCACAUCUUCACUUCGGAUUCCCUGAUCCACUCUUUCCCAGAGUUCGUGAAGUGUACGGGGGUAAUCCCGAUGAAUUUCGGUGUUGAAAAGUCCGGCCACCAACCCGUUGGUAAAGGCCGCGAGAGUUACCUGCUCAUUCUGAUCAGGUAUUUGCACAUUCUCCUCGUUGAACCUCUGAGCAUACGAGCGAAGAGACUCGCCCUGACCCUGUUGAAGGUUCAAGAGAUAAACUGAAGUCUUCGUGAUUGGUCGAGACGACACGAAGCGGUGGAUGAACCGGUCUAUCAGCUCAUCCAGGGAGGAAAUGCUCCCCGGUUCCAAACUCCAGAACCACUUCCGGGCAGUCCCAUGUAGGAAAAUGGGGAAAGCCCGACAAAUCACGGCGUCGGGGACACAGUAGAGUCGGAAUGCGGAGAUGAAGGCGCGGAGGUGAUCCUCGGGGUCACCUCGGCCGUCAUAGGUGGGCAAGUUUGGGAGCUUGAAAUUCGGGGGCACCCUUUCCCCAUUGAUGUCAUCCGUAAAGGGCGGAGCCCUCAUGUAGUCCGAAGCCAGUCCCCCGGGGCGCCGAGGUAGGCCCUCAGCUCGCUUCCCUAGCAGUCCCCGGGAAAACGCCCGGGAGAUGGAGGCUAGCUUAGAAGUCGCCUUGGAGGAGGCACGCCUGGAGGUACUCCGAGAGAGACGCCCCUCAUCGGAGUCUUCACCUGAAGGUGCCUCAGGGGACUUCGUCGGCCUCCUCUUGGAAGACUCGGCCUUUUCUUUCCCCUGUCUUUUGAGGUACCUUCCUAGCUCCUCAAAAAUGGUUGGGUUGUGUGAUACGAACUCGGCCAUCUUGGCGAUGGCCUCCUCGUUGUUAGGCUGGGUCCUUGGGGACCCUUGCUCUUCAGAGAUGCGAUCUUGCUGGGCUCCCGAGGUCUGCCCAGCCCCAGUUGAGGGAACUCGACCACUUCUGGAGCGCGUGGAUCUCAUUUUAGUAAUAGUAGUCUCGUUCCCACAGACGGCGCCAAUUGAGGAGGUGAUUUUUGGUUGGUAACUAGACCGACCUGGAUCAGUUCUUUUUGAGAUGAAGUGAGGUGAACUCCUGUGUCCGAAGUGAACCUCCUUGUCCGAAGUGAGUGGCGGGGCUUCUCCCCUGGUAUCACUCCGACGAUCAAGUUAGUAUGAGAACGAGAAUAAUGAGAAUGAAUUAAUGAACAGUGUAUGCUUACUUGUUGGGAGCGUGUCUGGGGUAUUUAUAGAAGAGAGGUGAUCAAUACGGAAGGCUCAUGCUAGCGGGACCCACUCUCUGGCAUUACGGCUCUGUCUCCUGCCAGGAGGUCUGACUCUGACACUGUAGCCGCCUGGGAGUGAUGACGGAGGAUAUGGUGCAGGUGCCAUUAAGUGCCUCCAGUGCUUUUCAGAUAAAGUGCUGGUCCUGGAUGAUGUCAGGUGGGUUGACAUCAUCAGCGUGCAGCCGAGGUGGAUGUGCCGAGGUCACCUACACGGUGGACUAGGGAUGAAGCCGAGCUCUGGGGUUGUGCUCAAGACAGGGAUGAGCUCCGGUGAGGGACGAGACUUGUGUUCACCUCGGACACCCGCGUGUCCGAGGUGAGCAUCCUCAGUACCCUAAGAAGAAGACAAUAAAAAAAAAAAUGCAGGGCUUACGUGAAGCACAAGAGACAUAAAUUAACUAGUGGAGUGCUACGUAACUUGAAGCUGCAUGCCAAGCUACAGGUGAAGAGAGUGCUGCUUCAUGUGAGACCUCCCUUUCAAAUGGGAUUCCAUGAAAUUUUCUUGUGCUUCGAUGAUGAUCAGUUCAUUACAAGUUAUAUAUAUAUAUAGAGCUACAGAUCGAAAGGGAAGGUGGGGGUCGACGAUCUCGCAGUUUGAGCUCCCCUAACCGAGAUUUUCCUCAAUAAUUAUUAUCCAAUGAAAGAAUAUAUUCUACCUGUGCUACAGGAGAGGAGAGUAGGGGCCCCGACUUAUCUUCUUCAGUCUUCAUCUCUUACAACUUGAUACGAUGGGAGAACAGAAUUUCAACGUAAAGAUGCCCUUCGAUCACUUUCUUGCCUCUGCUGCCUCUCGUGAAACUUAGAUGUUGGCAACUUGCCCGGAAUCAAUUUCCCUACAAAUCAAAUGCUUAACAGAUUUGUUUCCCCCCCCCCCCCUUUUUUUUGUUGGAUUAAAGAGGAAAGUAAACGUUAUAAAGAGGAGUACAUAGUAACGCCACUGACACAACAUCUGCUAGGCGACUUAGAGUCAACAUUAAAAUUGUAAUCAACUCCCCAAUGUGCUAAGAAUCAGCACAAUCAAUCAACUCCCCAAGUGUUUUUACAAUAACAUCCCUAAAAAAAAUAUAUAUAUAUAUAUAUAUAUAUCCCCGAGUGCCAACUUUCACAUUUGAGUGACAUUUUUUCUUAAUAAGAAGAAAAACUACACUGAUAAUCAUAUGUAAAUUAUUUGCAAAUUCAAACUGAAAUUUCUUACGCCAAAAAAUUUAAAAAAAAACACUGAAAAUGCAGAAAUUUGUUAAUAGUAUACAUUCAUGUGAGUCUUGACAACAUUGCGUGUUAAUAUUAUCCAGAUUUUGGCUUUCAGAUAAUUUGUUCGUUUUUUUUUGUCAAAAAUAAAGAACAAAAGAAGGAAAAAGCAAAAUGUUAAUCAGUUUGUUCUCAUUUGCUAUAGUUAAAAGAUUAGACAACUGUUGUGGUUUUGGCGCGGUUGGUUCGAACUUUUCUUUCUUUCUCUUUUUUUUUUUUUUUCUUUUUCAUUAAAUUGAACAAACUUUUUUUUUUUCUUUCUAUAAGGGCCUUGCUGUAUGUUGUACACGAAAUUAAGGAACUAAAUUACUAGUAUUACUCAGUUUGUUUCGUUUAUCCUUAGUUGAGAUAUUCCUAGAUAGCAAAGUGAGGAGUAUUUUCAGUUGGAAAUCUAAAUUUUUUUUAACCCUCCCUACACCCUUUCCAUCCUUGCCACUACUACAGCUACCCAAAAUAUGAUCGAUCUUCUGAUCGAGAACACCAUUUCUUAUCAAGAUCGUUCUGAGUUCCCCUUGGUCUUCCUUGUACCAUUCUAAGAUGCAUCUACAUAUAUCUUAAUGUAUAAUUAGCAACAGCCUUCAAGACUUCAAUGGCUGAGUUGACAAAAGAUUGAAAGCUUGCUGCUUUUGUUGCCCUGCUGGUCUUCUAAGCUGGCCAGAAAGGGUGUCUUGACAAAAAUCAUCAAGAAGCCAGAAAAAAGUUCGUCAUCCCUUGGCAUAGCACCUCAUAAAUUAGUACACAAUGUCUGAAUUUUCUUCAGGCCUUAGGAGAGGAGUACUAAAAGCCAACCAAAAAGUCAUAAAUUUAACCGAUGGUUACUUGAUUCCUCGUCAGACUUACACAAGAGCAAUAGACGCUUUAUUGAUUUUCUCCGGGAAAACAGAUCACAUGUUUUUCAUGUUAUUCGAUUUGGAAUGAUAUUCCAUUAAGUCAGAGUUUGAGUCUUGCUGAUCAAAAUCGUCGACUAAGGUAUUUUUAAGGUUAUGGACAAGAAAAAAUACAGGCUAGUUUUUGCUUUGAUGUUGUAGAACUAAACUUGUACACUAGUUUUUCUUCAAGAAAGCCAAUGAGAUUAAAAUGGCACUGCCUUUAGAGAGAGUAACUAAGUACCAGGUUUCAGCAUUGUCAAGGAGUGAUGUACUGUUGUGACUAGAGCAUAUUUGUCUCUUUAGAGAAUAACAAGGAUUAAUUCCAUUUUGCAUCCUUCAACUAUACCCAAAUUCUUUAAAAAAAAAAAAAAAAGCCUAUACCCGAAUUCUUACUUUGAUACCUGAACUUCAAAUGGAAUGCUUUAGUCUCUAAAGUAUAAAAUUUGUCACAUUUUAGUUCAAAAGAAGAAAACCUAUCCUAUUUUAUUUCUUUAAAUACAAAGUCAGUCCACUUUAGUUCUUAAAUUAUAAAAUCUAUACAAUUAAAUAUAAAAUUUGUUCCAUUUCUCUCAACGAUUUUGCUUAAGUGGGACAAAUUUUAUGUUUUAGCGAUCAAGUUUUUAAUUUUAAAAUUUAGGGAUCGAUGUGUACAUCUCAUGUACUUGAGAGGUGGAAAGUGAAAUUAACCCAAAAAAAUAACGAUGCAAUCAUCAUCUGGCAAGUUGGUCGUGAGUACGUGACGUAGCGUUCAUAUAAAUAUGGUAACCUGAUUACAGCUAGUUCAGGAAGUCGCCCCAAAAAAGAAAAGAUGAACAAAUUAAUGAGCAUGUAUUUGAUAACUACAAGAAUCUGAUCCAAAGCGCAAAACAAAAUUACAGGUAGAGAAUGAAAACUUCCAUAUUUUAACUCAGCGCUCGAGAACUUUAUAUUCAUCGUUAAAGAAAAAACUUUAUAUUCAUCUAUCCAAAACCUAUAACAUCAAUGGAUUCUUUUUCUCUUAGUCCAGGAGGGGAUUACCGAAUCGGCUUGAUGGAGGGUGCCAGGUAGUAAAAAUUCUGAAAGAGAAUGCCAAGAAUGACGAGGAAAGCCUGUCAAGUAGCCCGGACGACUCGCCUGCAAAUCCAUUAAUGAAGAAUUUACACUUGUACAUGGAUGGAUCUUGAAGGAUGAAGAGGCAAGCCAUCCUUGGCUACGAAACAGGACUCUCAGCCCCAUUCCAGGCAUUUCUUUCUAUAAAAUGUUAACCUCGAAUUAUAUCGAAAAGGUAUACAAGUGCACUCUUGACUGAUAACGAUCCCGAUAACUCAACGGAAAAGGGGUCUUGCGUGAAGAAAAAGAGACAUAUUAGUCAAGUGGCCGCCAAGGCCAAACAGCACGAGGCUUCUUCACGUAAGACCUCACUUUGGAAUUAUUGAGUUGGUCUUUUUCUUGUAUAUAUGCUGAUGAUCGUCUGUUUCAAGUGUCUAUUUAUAGCGACAGAAAAUGAAAGAUGAGAGGCUUCGGAAUUAGAUGAUGCGCAAGUUAGAGCUAGCUUGCUUCCCUAGCCAAAGUAACUUUCUUCACUAUUAUUUUCGUGAAAGAAUAAAUUCUCUUCCUGUUUCAGGGGUGCAGAGGACCCCAACUUAUCUAGUACCUCAUGUUCGUACAGCUGAAAGAUGAUAGGAGAGCUAGCCGAAUUUCAACGUAAAAGUCCCAUUAAUUCGCACGUUUUGUUGGCAACUUGCACCGAAUCAUUGCAAUAAGUGCAAUGAAUUUCCUUUUCCAUAUCUGGUCAAUGUUCAGUAGAAUCAUUGCAAUUAGCGCAUGGCUUGAAACCUGGGACCUCUUCAAAACCCGAGCAGCCAAAUAAGAGCCGGGGGGGGGAGGGGGGGUGGGUUUUUUUGGUGUAACUUUUCUUCCUUCGGCUAGUUCACUAAGUAAUGUGUAGGAUCAAACCAUGAUAUUAUCUGCUGUCAAAUUCCCAGUCACCCAGUUAUAUAACUUCUCAAUGUCCUGGACAUAUUACUGGCACUUGCAAAGUCACACUAAAGCCUUUCUACCCAAGAAAAAGAAAACUAAAGCUUUUCUUUUUCUUUUCGCUUUUUCCACUAAAGUUCAUGUUAAGGAAGAAUUUCAGUUGAAGGAAGAAAAUUCAGCAAAGCAGUAGCGUUAACUCGGAUGGCAAAGUCGUUCAUUUUUUUAUUAUUUCGGUGAAAUGUCAGUCAUUUGUGAACUUUUGGAGUUUGGACUUUUUUUUUUUUUUUUUUGGUAAAUAAAGAUGCAUUAAAAAUAAAAUCAAGUCAACAGAGUGCAAAUUAAGGUACAGUCAUCCGUGGGGAGGAAACCCCCUUUAAGUCUUGCAAAAGUAAGGGAAGUACAAAAUUAGGACAUAAUUCAAAAAAAGUGAAGUCUUGAGUGUUGCUUCUUCCCCAGUUGGCAAGGAUGUCUGCACAUUUGUUUGCUUCUCUAUAAUUAUGGUGAAAACAUACUUUCUGGAAUGUAGUCAAUAGCUCCCUGCAAUCAAGAAUAAUAGGUGCAAGUUCAUGAGAAAUAAGAUUAUUUGACUUACACAAGGAGAAUAUAAAGGCAGAGUCCAUCUCCACUUCGAGAGAGUGGAUGUUGAGAUUUUUCGCAAGUUGUAAGCCUUCUCUAAGAGCCCAACAUUCAGCAGAAGGAACUGAACAGAAGCCUAAAUUUCUUGCAAAGCCCGCAAUCCAUAUCCCAUUUGAGUCACGAAUUAUGCCACCAGCUCCUGCCUGGUUUGUUGGUCCAGAGACUGAACCAUCAGUAUUGAGCUUGGCGAAACCUAUAGCAGGGGGGGAUCCAUCUGAUGAAUUUUUCUUGUCUAGGGGAUCUGGAGAUAUGAGAACCAGGCCCUAGUAGGUAAAAUUCAUGAGCAUGGUGAAGACAAAACUUGAUAGGAUCAUCAAUUUUGUUUUUUUGAAAGAUCUUGGCAUUGCGAGCUUGCCAGAGGCUCCAACAACCAAAGCUAAAAAUGGUUCCCCAAGGAAUAAGGUUGAAAGGGGAAGGAAUGUUGGACGAGCAUCCAUCCUUGAUCCAGGAAUAGAAAUCCGAGCUGGUUUGGAGGGAGUUUUGGGAGGGAUGGGUGAGUUUAAGCCAGAAGGAGGUUGCUUGGGGACAAGAUCUUAGUAUGUGAUUCGAAUCUUCAGAAGGAGCUUGACAAAAAGGGCAAGAGGCUUCGGAAAGAAUUGUGCGAUGUGUGAGAAGACUUUUUGAAGGGAGUCUAUCCUGGGAUGCUAGCCAAAGGAAAUGCUUGACUUUUGAGGAGGUAUUAACUUUCCAAAUCCAGCGAAAAUGGGAUGGAGCUCUAGAAUCAACUGGAAAUAAGGGAGGAUUUUUGCAAAGGUUAUAAGCAGAUUUCGAGUUGAAAACCCCAUUGCUGGAGUAAUUCCACCUAAAGAAAUCAUGGGAUGGAUUGAGCUCUUGUCUUGGUGUACCCUUGAUCUCCUUCACGAGCUGGAGAGGAAGCUGGAAGGAUAUUCUAUCAAGGUUCCAACUGGUGGGGGAGUGAAAAAGUUGAAAAACUCUUAAGUCCUCUUCCCCCUCAGUUAGAGGUCCUUGGAUCUGGCUUCUGAUAGAGCCUGAUUGAAGCCAUUUGUCUCCCCAAAAUCUGACUAAAUGCCCAUCUCUGAUAGACCAAAUUAAACCUUCAUUGAAGGUUUUGAUCCCAAUGUUGGAGUUUGGACUGUUGAAGCCUGUCGAUGCGGUUGGAUUUGCAACGUUGUGAGUUUGUUUGGACAAAGAUAAUUUGAUUUGCAAAAUUUAUUCUCACAAAUCCCAAUCACCUUUUUAUCUCACAUACAUCACAUCACAAAAAGUGCUACAGUAAAUAUCUCAAAUAAAUCAUCCAAAUAAACUCUUAUCCAAACAAACUCGUGCUUCUUUUUCUUUUUCUUUUUUCUUUACAUGCUUCGUUGAGAUUAUCAGAUAAAAUUCUCUUUAAUUUGCUUUUUUAAUUAGCUGGGUUGACUUUAGAUUAGACUAUACCCAACUUUACCCAGUGGGUCUGAACGUUCACAUAAGUGCUGCUAUGCCUGCAGUCCUUUGCAUAAAUAAAACUGACAAUACGAAUCACGUCUGUUUUCUUUUCUCUCUGCCUGCUUUAUCCACUGGAUUUUAUCCUAACUUUAGGUGGGCUUGAUUCGUAUUAGAUUGGAGCGAUAAUGAGAUGUAUUCGAUAUUCUGUACCAAUAAAGAAGGUUAUACUGCAACAAUAGACACCUCAGCUGAUCUCUCGUUUCUAUUUCCCUAAUUCAUGCUUCUAGACGUCGUUGACCUAUGGGGGCAUCCUGUCCUGUCCUGUCCAGUUAGUUUCCGGUUAAACCUCUCUGAUUCUAGCUCAAUCUUCAUGCAUUAUUAUUAAGUACGAUUGCAGCUUGGAGAAAGUUCUAUAACAAAUUCUCAGUCAUCAAGAUGAUUUUAACAAUUCACUUGAUAAAAUCAAGAAAAUUUUCUAAGAUUUUAGAUGGGGCAAAAUAGCGGUUGUAAAUGAAAUUACCAGAAGUCCUUCGGGGUUAAAAAGCAUUAGCCAAAACUUGGGGCCGGCUGCUACCAACUCCUGCCGCAGUGGAUGUGCCCUUUAUUUUGUGGUAACUGUCAGUUCUAGGAACGCUGGUCCCGCGGGCCUUGCCUCAAAUGACUCCUUCAUAUUGUUUUGAGCCGUCAUCAAUAGUUUGAUUCGCCAACCAACCCAUUAAUUGGGAUCGUUCAUGCCUGAAUUCCAGACAACCUCUAUGCCUGUCGACAUGCUUGCCAAGGUAGACGGAGAUGGAAUUCCUUCGAAGCACCGUAUCAGAAGAGUGUGACAGCAUCAUGCAGAGACAGCCGCGCCGAAAAUGCGAGUGGAACAAAUACCCAGCUUUAGCACUACUACAUGCAUUUGUCUCGAUCAAAAGAGUAGAGAUUUUACAGCAAUCCAACUCUGGUACUGAAUCUUCUAGUAUUACAAUUUUGAGUGCUUCUAUCUACCUUUCUAAUUCACAGCGUACAGAAGUAGAGCUAGUCAACUUUUAGCACUUGCUACUGAAUAGUUUCUAGGACUUUUUAGACAUUGUCAAGCAUCUGCUUAGUUGCUAUCCAGUUGGUAUUGGCACAGUUCUAUACAUUCUAGAACAAUACCGAGGCCAGAUUCAAAACCGCAAUGAUUCUUCUUCUUCUUCUUUUUUUUUUUGUUUUUUUCCUUUUUAGUGAUACACCAACGCUGUAUGUGCUAUAUACUACAUUACUAAGAACGGGCCCUGGAUUUGUCUUUGAGCAAUUCUACCACUCUUCUCAUGGAGGGCCUGUUCAUUGGAAGAGAUGAAACGCACUGAAGGGCGACGUCUAAGACCACCCUAAUCUCUUCAAGCUCAGAUGUUGAUGGUUUCAACCUUGCAUCUACAAGGUGAUCCAAAUAGUCAGCACAAAUUUUGGCACUAUCGUUGGCUAUUGGUUGU